rnacentral:misc_RNA from 1 species
GAAAUGCGAUAAGUAGUGUGAAUUGCAGAAUUCAGUGAAUCAUCGAAUCUUUGAACGCACAUUGCGCUUCCUGGUAUUCCGGGGAGCAUGCCCGUUUCAGAAUCAUUAAAAUCUCACAAGUUAAUUUGCUUUCGAGCAUUUUAACAUGUGGAUGUGAAUGUGUUGCACUCUGUGUGCAAACAUUUCAAAGUGAUUGUAUGUGCGCCUUGUUUAUUAACAUUGGUUAUCAAAAGUGCAACAGAUUUAUCUAUUUCAUUUUAAUAAUCAGUGUUACAACAUGGUGUUUCCAUACUCAAAACCCUAUUAAGUGAUGUUGAUUGUAUACGAUCAGCCUUCACUGAUAACUUGGUCUGAAAUCGGGCAAGAAAACCCGCUGAACUUAA